GACGCCAGCAGUGGAUUAUGUGGUUUAUUCGAAGCAACGCGAAGAACCUUACCAGCACUUGACAUCCAACUAACGAAAUAGAGAUAUAUUAGGUGCCCUUCGGGGAAAGUUGAGACAGGUGGUGCAUGGUUGUCGUCAGCUCGUGUCGUGAGAUGUUGGGUUAAGUCCCGCAACGAGCGCAACCCUCGCCAUUAGUUGCUACGCAAGAGCACUCUAAUGGGACCGCUACCGACAAGGUGGAGGAAGGUGGGGACGACGUCAAAUCAUCAUGCCCCUUAUGUGCUGGGCUACACACGUAAUACAAUGGCCAUCAACAGAGAGAAGCAAUACCGCGAGGUGGAGCAAAACUUCAAAAAUGGUCUCAGUUCGGACUGCAGGCUGCAACCCGCCUGCACGAAGUUGGAAUUGCUAGUAAUCGUGGAUCAGCAUGCCACGGUGAAUACGUUCCCGGGUCUUGUACACACCGCCCGU
rnacentral:rRNA from 1 species